UGAAGCUAAAAAAAGGUGGCAGGGUCUGCCACAUAUUAACAAAGUCAAACAGUGUGAAUCUGUGUCAUCCUCUAAUCCUUUAAGUCAGUUUGUUUAUCCAGUUUGUUCAGUUGGGGAAACAAAGAGAAGUUUGUUUAUUGAGUUUGUUCAGCAUAAUAUAAAUCAGUUACAUUCCAUCACUGCUGCUCAUCAAACGAGUUAUACAAGAAAAUGUGCGUUGAGAAGAACUGCCAGCCCCUUCAGUGAACCGCUGAUUUUUUCAGAAAAAAGCUUCCUGGAGAACACACCUUCCAGGCAGGUAGUGGGUCAGGUGAAUUCCCCCAAAGCCCCGCCCCCUCCCUCAGGAUGCUGCAGACCCCGCCCUCCGCUGUGCAUCAGCGCUGACAUGAGCUGAUUUAAAUCUCCACAGGGAUCAAAUUCACACAGAGCAGCAGAGACAGCUGAACAGAGAGCAUCAACAUCUCACACCUACAGCUCAGGAAUGGAACGAGGAUUGAUCCUGCUGGUUUCUGCGUUGAUGGCCUUUAUGGCCGCGGGUGUCCAAGGAACGUUUCAUCUGUCAUUUGCCAGUAACACAGAGGUGAACAUCACUCGGGAUGGUUGCGGCGUCUCUAAACUGUGCGUGGAGACACCAAAUGACUGUGACCCUGCUGCGAACGGCACCUGUCUGUUCGCGUCUUUGACCGCCUCCACCCCAGUGGCCCCCAACGGCACCGUCCUGUCCGUCGAACUCAGGGGAGAGUCCAUGGGAUACAUCGCACUGGGACUGACUCAGAAUGCUUCAGAGGGCACCACCGCGCUUUUCAUCUGUGCUCAGAACAGCAUGAACAAUGGGUCGUUCUUCUUCCGGACAAUGACCAGAAACAACACUGACGGGACGCUCUCUCCAGUAGAGACGAUCGUGAGAGAAAUUCGUGGCAUGGUGGAUGGCAAUGUCAUCAAGUGCGAGUAUGACAUCCCAAACGUGAACGCCACCAGCACCAGAGACAGUCACAUUACAACCUUCCAAGUCCUCCUCGGGAAUGGAACUACUAAUGGAAAUAAUCUUGGUAGCUUCACCACUGUCCUGGACAGCGGUACCCUGAACGUUGCCGACCCGACCAGCAACGCCACAGCAAUGAGCGGAGCUGACCACCCUCAUGCUGUGCUGCUCCUGCUGAGUGUCCUCACAGUGCCCCUCAUGCUCAGAGCCUAG
rnacentral:lncRNA from 1 species